AGUAUCAUUAAGUGAAUACAUAGCUUAAUGAGGGGAACUCAGGGAACUGAAACAUCUAAGUACCUGAAGGAAGAGAAAGAAAUUCGAUUCCGUAAGUAGCGGCGAGCGAACGCGGAUUAGCCCAAACCAAUAAAGUUUUCUUUAUUGGGGUUGCGGACAUAUCAUAACGAAGAGGUAUCGUAAUUGAAGAGGUUUGGAAAGACCCACCACAGAAGGUAAUAGUCCUGUAUGUUAAACGAGAAGACUUUAGAUAUGAUCCAGAGUACCACGGGACACGUGAAACCCUGUGGGAAGCAGGAGGGACCACCCUCCAAGGCUAAAUACUACCUAGUGACCGAUAGCGUAUAGUACCGUGAGGGAAAGGUGAAAAGAACCCCGGGAGGGGAGUGAAAUAGAACCUGAAACCCUGCACUUACAAGCUGUGGAAGCACAUUUCUUGUGUGACCGCGUACUUUUUGUAGAACGGGCCAACGAGUUACGUUAAGUAGCAAGGUUAAGCACUUAAGGUGCGGAGCCGUAGCGAAAGCGAGUUUUAACUGAGCGUUCAGUUACUUGACGUAGACCCGAAACCGGGCGACCUACCCAUGAGCAGGAUGAAGCGAAAGUAAAAUUUCGUGGAGGUCCGAACCCACGAGCGUUGAAAAGCUCGGGGAUGACUUGUGGGUAGCGGUGAAAUUCCAAUCGAGCCCGGAGAUAGCUGGUUCUCCCCGAAAUAGCUUUAGGGCUAGCCUCAAGGUGAGAGAUACGGAGGUAGAGCACUGAAUGUCCUAGGGGGUAUUGCACCUA
rnacentral:rRNA from 1 species